UGGGGAAUAUUUGGCAAUGGGCGAAAGCUUGACCAAGCAAUACCGCGUGAAGGAUGAAGGCCUUAGGGUUGUAAACUUCUUUUCUGAUUGACGAAAUUCUGACGGUAUUUCAGGAAUAAGCAUCGGCUAACUUCGUGCCAGCAGCCGCGGUAAUACGGGGGAUGCAAGCGUUAUCCGGAUUUAUUGGGCGUAAAGCGUUCGUAGAUGGUUUUUUAAGUUUAAUGUUAAAUUACAAAGCUUAACUUUGGGCAUGCAUUAAAAACUGAAAGACUUUAGUACAAUAGGGGUAAAGGGAAUUUUCAGUGUAGCGGUGAAAUGCGUAGAUAUUGGAAAGAACGCCUAUAGCGAAAGCACUUUACUGGGUUGUUACUGAAAUUGAGGAACGAAAGCUAGGGGAGCAAAGC
rnacentral:rRNA from 1 species